rnacentral:rRNA from 1 species
AAGGCGCGCGAUACAGGGUGACAGCCCCGUACACAAAAAUGCACAUGCUGUGAGCUCGAUGAGUAGGGCGGGACACGUGGUAUCCUGUCUGAAUAUGGGGGGACCAUCCUCCAAGGCUAAAUACUCCUGACUGACCGAUAGUGAACCAGUACCGUGAGGGAAAGGCGAAAAGAACCCCGGCGAGGGGAGUGAAAAAGAACCUGAAACCGUGUACGUACAAGCAGUGGGAGCACGCUUAGGCGUGUGACUGCGUACCUUUUGUAUAAUGGGUCAGCGACUUAUAUUCUGUAGCAAGGUUAACCGAAUAGGGGAGCCGAAGGGAAACCGAGUCUUAACUGGGCGUUAAGUUGCAGGGUAUAGACCCGAAACCCGGUGAUCUAGCCAUGGGCAGGUUGAAGGUUGGGUAACACUAACUGGAGGACCGAACCGACUAAUGUUGAAAAAUUAGCGGAUGACUUGUGGCUGGGGGUGAAAGGCCAAUCAAACCGGGAGAUAGCUGGUUCUCCCCGAAAGCUAUUUAGGUAGCGCCUCGUGAAUUCAUCUCCGGGGGUAGAGCACUGUUUCGGCAAGGGGGUCAUCCCGACUUACCAACCCGAUGCAAACUGCGAAUACCGGAGAAUGUUAUCACGGGAGACACACGGCGGGUGCUAACGUCCGUCGUGAAGAGGGAAACAACCCAGACCGCCAGCUAAGGUCCCAAAGUCAUGGUUAAGUGGGAAACGAUGUGGGAAGGCCCAGACAGCCAGGAUGUUGGCUUAGAAGCAGCCAUCAUUUAAAGAAAGCGUAAUAGCUCACUGGUCGAGUCGGCCUGCGCGGAAGAUGUAACGGGGCUAAACCAUGCACCGAAGCUGCGGCAGCGACGCUUAUGCGUUGUUGGGUAGGGGAGCGUUCUGUAAGCCUGUGAAGGUGUGCUGUGAGGCAUGCUGGAGGUAUCAGAAGUGCGAAUGCUGACAUAAGUAACGAUAAAGCGGGUGAAAAGCCCGCUCGCCGGAAGACCAAGGGUUCCUGUCCAACGUUAAUCGGGGCAGGGUGAGUCGACCCCUAAGGCGAGGCCGAAAGGCGUAGUCGAUGGGAAACAGGUUAAUAUUCCUGUACUUGGUGUUACUGCGAAGGGGGGACGGAGAAGGCUAUGUUGGCCGGGCGACGGUUGUCCCGGUUUAAGCGUGUAGGCUGGUUUUCCAGGCAAAUCCGGAAAAUCAAGGCUGAGGCGUGAUGACGAGGCACUACGGUGCUGAAGCAACAAAUGCCCUGCUUCCAGGAAAAGCCUCUAAGCAUCAGGUAACAUCAAAUCGUACCCCAAACCGACACAGGUGGUCAGGUAGAGAAUACCAAGGCGCUUGAGAGAACUCGGGUGAAGGAACUAGGCAAAAUGGUGCCGUAACUUCGGGAGAAGGCACGCUGAUAUGUAGGUGAAGUCCCUCGCGGAUGGAGCUGAAAUCAGUCGAAGAUACCAGCUGGCUGCAACUGUUUAUUAAAAACACAGCACUGUGCAAACACGAAAGUGGACGUAUACGGUGUGACGCCUGCCCGGUGCCGGAAGGUUAAUUGAUGGGGUCAGCGCAAGCGAAGCUCUUGAUCGAAGCCCCGGUAAACGGCGGCCGUAACUAUAACGGUCCUAAGGUAGCGAAAUUCCUUGUCGGGUAAGUUCCGACCUGCACGAAUGGCGUAAUGAUGGCCAGGCUGUCUCCACCCGAGACUCAGUGAAAUUGAACUCGCUGUGAAGAUGCAGUGUACCCGCGGCAAGACGGAAAGACCCCGUGAACCUUUACUAUAGCUUGACACUGAACAUUGAGCCUUGAUG